rnacentral:rRNA from 1 species
GACGAACGCUGGCGGCGUGCUUAACACAUGCAAGUCGAACGGAAAGGCCCUGCUUUUGUGGGGUGCUCGAGUGGCGAACGGGUGAGUAACACGUGAGUAACCUGCCCUUGACUUUGGGAUAACUUCAGGAGACUGGGGCUCUUACCGGAUAGGAUCUCCUGCUCCAUGUUGUUGGUUGGAAAGUUUCGGCGGUUGGGGAUGGACUCGCGGCUUAUCCGCUUGUUUGUGGGGUAGUGGCUGACCAAGGCUUUGACGGGUAGCCGGCCUGAGAGGGUUACCGGCGACAUGGGGACUAAGAGACGGCGCAGACGGCUACGGGAGGCAGCAGGGGGGAGUAUGGCAGAAUGGGCGGAAGCCAGAUGCAGAAACGCCGCGUGCGGGAUGACGGCCUUCGAGUGGUAAACAGAUGUGGCAGGUGACGAAGAGUGAGUGACGGUAAUGGGUAAAGAAGCACCGGCUAACUACGUG